UGGGGAAUUUUGGACAAUGGGGGAAACCCUGAUCCAGCCAUCCCGCAUGUGCGAUGAAGGCCUUCGUGUUGUAAAGCACUUUUGGCAGGAAAGAAACGUCAUGGGUUAAUACCCCGUGAAACUGACGGUACCUGCAGAAUAAGCACCGGCUAACUACGUGCCAGCAGCCGCGGUAAUACGUAGGGUGCAAGCGUUAAUCGGAAUUACUGGGCGUAAAGCGUGCGCAGGCGGUUCGGAAAGAAAGAUGUGAAAUCCCAGAGCUCAACUUUGGAACUGCAUUUUUAACUACCGGGCUGGAGUGUGUCAGAGGGAGGUGGAAUUCCGCGUGUAGCAGUGAAAUGCGUAGGUAUGCGGAGGAAAACCGAUGGCGAAGGCAGCCUCCUGGGAUAACACUGCCGCUCAUGCACGAAAGCGUGGGGAGCAAACAGG
rnacentral:rRNA from 1 species